UACGUAGGGGGCAAGCGUUGUUCGGAAUGACUGGGCGUAAAGGGUGCGUAGGCGGUGUAGCAAGUUAGAAGUGAAAUACCUAGAGCUUAACUCAGGUGCUGCUUCUAAAACUGCUAUACUUGAGUGCAGUAGAGGAAAGUGGAAUUCCUAGUGUAGCGGUGGAUGCGUAGAUAUUAGGAGGAACAUCAGUGGCGAAGGCGACUUUCUGGACUGUAACUGACGCUGAGGCACGAAAGUGUGGGGAGCAAACAGG
rnacentral:rRNA from 1 species